rnacentral:rRNA from 1 species
AUACGGAGGAUCCGAGCGUUAUCCGGAUUUAUUGGGUUUAAAGGGUGCGCAGGCGGGAGAUUAAGUCGGCGGUGAAAUUUUUCAGCUCAACUGUAAAAGUGCCUUCGAAACUGGGUUCCUUGAGUGGAGAUGAAGUAGGCGGAAUUUGUGGUGUAGCGGUGAAAUGCAUAGAUAUCACGAGGAACUCCGAUUGCGCAGGCAGCUUACUAAACUACUACUGACGCUCAGGCACGAAGGCGUGGGGAUCAAACAGGAUUAGAUACCCUGGUAGUCCACGCAGUAAACGAUGAUUACUAGCUGUUUGCGAUACAAUGUAAGCGGCUGAGCGAAAGCGUUAAGUAAUCCACCUGGGGAGUACGGUCGCAAGAAUGAAACUCAAAGGAAUUGACGGGG